CCUACGGGAGGCAGCAGUGGGGAAUAUUGCGCAAUGGGCGAAAGCCUGACGCAGCGACGCCGCGUGAGGGAUGAAGAUCUUCGGAUCGUAAACCUCUGUCAGCAGGGAAGAACGGUCACUGUGCUAAUCAGCAGUGAAUUGACGGUACCUGCAAAGGAAGCACCGGCUAACUCCGUGCCAGCAGCCGCGGUAAUACGGAGGGUGCGAGCGUUAAUCGGAAUUACUGGGCGUAAAGCGCUCGUAGGCGGUAUGUCAAGUCAAGGGUGAAAUCCCCGCGCUCAACGUGGGAACUGCCUUUGAAACUGGCAAACUGGAGUGUGUGAGAGGAUAGUGGAAUUCCAGGUGUAGGAGUGAAAGCCGUAGAUAUCGGGAGGAACAUCAGUGGCGAAGGCGACUAUCUGGCACAUAACUGACGCUGAGGAGCGAAAGCGUGGGUAGCAAACAGGAUUAGAUACCCUUGUAGUC
rnacentral:rRNA from 1 species